UUCCACCACUCUAUAUGUAAACAUUUGAAACGGAACCUGUGACACUUGAUGUAACUCUGUGGAUUCCCAUGAAAGCUUCUGCAACAGCUUAGUCUCGAUCUCGCAGUAAUCCACAGGAGGAGAAACUGGCGGGUCUUGUUGGCUUAUACUGUGACAUUCCGGGUUCAAAGCUAGAAACCGCUUGAUGUAUCGUAGAAUUCUGCUUAUCGACGAGAAAGUUGGACGCUGAUUAGGGUCAGCAUGCCAGCAUCUUUUUGUCAGGUUUGUUAUGAAUUUAGGUGAAUGGAACGGGAAAAGCGGUCUCUCCCCGGCCCUAAUGUUUCUACUCAUCUUAUCUCCUUGCAGGUGGCUAUCCUCAAAUGGUACUUUACCUGUUAGAAGCUCAAAGCAGACCAUCCCAAAACUAUACACAUCAGAUUUUUCAGUAUACUUGAUGCUUCCUGCAGUUCCGCUCUGUUCUUGCUCGUCUAGCAAUUCCGGGGAAUACCAUAUGAAUGGAAAACUCUCACUCUGACCCGUCGAAGAAGCAUUUUUACUAGAGAAACCCUUGACAGAAUUCAAUCCGAACCCAGAAAUCUUCCCC
rnacentral:lncRNA from 1 species